CGUGGAUGAUCUCAAAGCAUGUCUCUUUUCAACAUGCUUCUCAUUUUUCCUUGAGGUUCUAGCUGGAGAAAGAGCACCUGCAGAAGUGUUGUUAACUGCUACCCAUGGGAACAAUGUCUGCCAAGGCUGAUGCAUUAUGGGGACAGAUUGCCAAUCUUGGUAGAUGACUGAUAUGGCAUUGCAAUCAGCCUAGAAGUCUGACUUCCUGCUUGGCAUCCUGCCUACAGAACUUCUGUUCUCAUCAGCGACCUCUGCGUGCUGAGGUACUAAAGAUGUCGGCAUCACCAAGGCCCUAGGCAAACCUGCAAUGCCGGCAAUGAACAAAAACCCUGUCUGUGAAGCACCAUCAUGCCUCCGUAAAAAAUUUUUGAGGAAGACAUCAGCAUGGGAAAUUAAAGGACCUUCUUCAUAAUUCAAACUAGAACACUAAUGUCAAAACUCAAAUCUUUGCAUCUACACUGGUGUAGCAAACACAGAUCAAUAAUUAC